rnacentral:rRNA from 1 species
UAACCGCGAGGAGCCGUUAAGGGUAGAACCGGUAACUGGGGCUAAGUCGUAACAAGGUAGCCGUACCGGAAGGUGCGGCUGGAACACCUCCUUUCUGGAAG